AGUUUCUUCCAUGUGUUUUCAUGGCUUGAUAGCUCAUUUCCUUUUAGUGCUGAAUAAUAUUCCAUAGCCUGGAUGCACCACUGUUUAUUCAUUCAUUCAUCUACUGAGGGUCAUCUUGGUGGCAAUUAUAAAUAAAACUGCUCUAAAAAUUCUUGUGCUGAUUUUUGUAUGAAUACGUUUUUGAGUCUUUUGGAUUGCUGAAUCUAAUGGUAAGAGUAUGGUUAGUUUUGUGAGAAACAACUAAGCUGUCUUCCAAAGUAGCUGUUCCAUUUUGCAUGAGAGUUCCUGAUGCUCCACAUCCUCAU
rnacentral:lncRNA from 10 species